rnacentral:lncRNA from 1 species
GCCGGACCCACAGCUUCACUCCGUCAACGCCGCCGCCGACCGCAGCUAGCUUCAGGACGGCCAAGAGAAGAAAGGGCAUACCUCAUAGAGCCCCCAUGGGUGGACUAGUCAUAGAAUACUAAACCACCCAGUCAACCCCCCUACACUUCUACUUAAUUACCCAAUGCCCCCCCCUUAUACCUACUCUUUUCAAAACACACCCUCUUCCUAAUUUCCUAGCAUUAGUGCUUUUCACAAAGGCCGGUGUGACGAAAUUUACCAUUAUGUACAAAGACGCACCCUAUAGUUAAUAGUAAUAGUCUUGGAAUAG